rnacentral:rRNA from 1 species
ACACAUGCAAGUCGAGCGGAACGAGUUAACUGAACCUUCGGGGAACGUUAACGGCGUCCAGCGGCGGACGGGUGAGUAAUGCCUGGGAAAUUGCCCUGAUGUGGGGGAUAACCAUUGGAAACGAUGGCUAAUACCGCAUAAUAGCUUCGGCUCAAAGAGGGGGACCUUCGGGCCUCUCGCGUCAGGAUAUGCCCAGGUGGGAUUAGCUAGUUGGUGAGGUAAGGGCUCACCAAGGCGACGAUCCCUAGCUGGUCUGAGAGGAUGAUCAGCCACACUGGAACUGAGACACGGUCCAGACUCCUACGGGAGGCAGCAGUGGGGAAUAUUGCACAAUGGGCGCAAGCCUGAUGCAGCCAUGCCGCGUGUAUGAAGAAGGCCUUCGGGUUGUAAAGUACUUUCAGCAGUGAGGAA